rnacentral:rRNA from 1 species
UACCAGCACCCCGAGUGGUCGGGACGAUUAUUGGGCCUAAAGCAUCCGUAGCCGGUUUUACAAGUCCUCCGUUAAAUCCAACUGCUUAACAGAUGGGCCACGGAGGAUACUAUAAGACUAGGAGGCAGGAGAGGCAAGCGGUACUCAGUGGGUAGGGGUAAAAUCCGUUGAUCCAUUGAAGACCACCAGUGGCGAAGGCGGCUUGCCAGAAUGCGCUCGACGGUGAGGGAUGAAAGCUGGGGGAGCAAACCGG